AGCGAACGCUGGCGGCAGGCCUAACACAUGCAAGUCGAACGAUCCUUCGGGAUAGUGGCGGACGGGUGAGUAACACGUGGGAACGGGCCUUUUGGUUCGGAACAACUCAGGGAAACUUGAGCUAAUACCGGAUGUGCCCUUCGGGGGAAGGAUUUAUCGCCAUUAGAGCGGCCCGCGUCUGUUUAGCUAGUUGGUGGGGCAAAGGCCUACCAAGGCGACGAUCAGUAGCUGGUCUGAGAGGAUGAUCAGCCACAUUGGGACUGAGACACGGCCCAAACUCCUACGGGAGGCAGCAGUGGGGAAUCUUGCGCAAUGGGCGAAAGCCUGACGCAGCCAUGCCGCGUGAAUGAUGAAGGUCUUAGGAUUGUAAAAUUCUUUCACCGGGGACGAUAAUGACGGUACCCGGAGAAGAAGCCCCGGCUAACUUCGUGCCAGCCGCCGCUGUAA
rnacentral:rRNA from 1 species